CGUCUGAGUCACCUUUCAUCUCCUCUCACACCAGGUGUCUGUUUGUUUGCUGCUUUGAAUGGUUGCUGUGCUUCGCUGCUCCUGGAUCAGUUUAAAGUGAAACUCAGAGAAGCUCCUCUGCAGUCUGACGGUCAGAUUUUCCUCAGCUAUGAUGUUUCUGAGUCCACUGUUGAUCACGCUGCUGCUUCAGCUGCCAGGAUCAGACGGUAAUCCCUCUGUGACUCAGUCUCCAGCAGUGAAGUCAGCUGCGUUGGGGGAGACGGUCUCUCUGAGCUGCUCAGCCAGUGCAGGAGUUGAUGAUGAUCUGAGUUGGUACCAGCAGAAACCUGGACAGCCUCCCAAACUGUUAUUUUAUAAAAUCAGCAGCCGUCAAUCUGAUACUCCCAGUCAUUUCAGCAGCAGUGGAUCAGAGCCUCAGUUCACUCUGACAGUCAGUGGAGUUCAGGCUGAUGAUGCUGGAGAUUAUUACUGUAUGGGAGUGCAUAGUGGCCCGGUGUUCACACAGUGAUUUAUAGUCGUACAAAAACCUCCUUCAGUCUGACCACAGACUGUACAGCAGCUGUGAGUUUCUGCUGCAGACUGGAACAUGGAUACGGUCCAGUGAAGUUCACUCUGUAGUGCUAAUGGAAGAAACUAACAAAGUAUUUAUUUAUUGAAAAUAAAGAUCAACAUUAAAGUGAGUUUUAAAUAAACUCAGAGUUAAAUAUGUGACAUUAGCAUGACUUAUGUUCAUCAGAAAUCAUUUUACAUCUCGUGAGAGUGAAGUCUCAUAGAAAAUUGUAUUUGAUUGCUAUAAAAACACUACUUAGUACAGCAUACAGUUUGAGGUGAACAAAACAUUUAUUAAACAUCAGUAAUCAAACUGAUUGCAUAUUGGUUUGAUUAAUUAAAGUGUCGGGAUAAAUUAAUA